CAGAAUGUAGCUUAAAUUCUCAAAGCCUCCGGCUUACACCCGGAAGACUUCAUGUAACCUGAACAUUCUGA
rnacentral:tRNA from 1 species